GUUGUGGCAGUGAGAGAGAAAGCACGGUACAGACUCCAAGGUUGGGUAGUUUAUGCUAUUUGCUUCACUUUCUGCAGGUAAAUGCUAACAUGUGGGGAGAAGGGUUUUGGGUGCUGAAGACAUUAAGACCUGGUGGCCGCCUACAGGAGGUGAAUGCAGUCCGGAGGCGUGGUGGAGCCCAGGUUUUUCUAGGGCAUGUAGGGCUUUGUUUGCGUCACGGCUCUUUACCCUCGGGUUUUUGACCUGGGACUCAGAGAUAUCGACAUGCUCCCAAGCUUCCUGCAGCUGAUGCGGCACCCUCCUGUUCCUGGACAGGAGAGUGUUGGCCUGCUCCUCCUGGGAUAUGCCACUCUCAAGCUCACGCACCUGGAAUAUUGAUACAAUAUUAUCUCAAUCUAUUUCCCCAUGUUUAACCAGGCCUGAACUUUUCCACACACUUAGAUACUGCUUAACUCCAGUCCAAGUAUUUGUAAAAGAGAACAAUUGAUGGGAAUUUAAGCUAAGAUGUAUAACGCUGUUGCACUUGAGCUUUUUCUAAAAUAGGAUCAUGUGUAGAAAAAAGUAUUGUGCACUCAUUCCACAUAGCAUAAAGUCACAAUAAAAAAAGAU